CCCAAAUACAAUGCUUUUAGUUUUGGAAAUAUUUAGGACUAACUUAUUCCUUGCCACCUAUUCUGAAACUAACUUAACUCAAAGCCGUAAAGACUGAAAAAAGUAAGGGGCCUAAACAGCUAUGAUAACUCUUUAUUUUACAGAGAAACUGCUCCUGAGCCUGAAGGUGAUUCUAAGAGCAGCAGCAUGAGCAUCAGAAGACAGAACCGCACCUUCCUGUUACUCCUCCUCAGUCCAACUCUCUACUUUCUAUGACUUACAGCAUAGAAAUUGGUCAUUGUACCUCUUAUGAAACUGUUGACAAGUACUGAGUGUUUAAACUGAUGGAAAAACUUGUUUUUUGUCUGGGAUGUAUUUAAUAGAAGACUUAAAAUAUACCUCUUGCUAGAACCACCUUUCAAGAGGUCGAGGAAAAAAGCUAUUCCAAAUUGCCUGUAGCCACGGUGUGUUUACUGAUAGGACCACUUAAAGGGAAAGGGGAUAUCUAGUCAGUUGUACAACUGAAAUAUGUCUUCCGCAUUUAACCCAACCCCUCUGAAUCAGAGAGAUGCGGGGGGCUGCCUUAAUCGACAUCCACAUCUUAGGGGCUUGGGGAACAGUGGGUUAACUGCAUUGCAUUCUGCGUUGCAGAAUGACAGACCUUUACCUUGGCAGCUCGGGGAUUUGAUCCAGCAACCUUUUUGGGUACUGGCCCAACGCUCUAACCAUUGCAAACUAUAUUUAAUGCACUUUUAAUAUAAUAUUUGUUGCUGAGUCAAUGCAUAAACCAGGGCCAUCUGUAAAGUCAAAAUUGGAAAUGGGAUUGAAAUAGCUUUGAGUCAGUGUGUCCCUCCUGUCAACAAGAUGCAGCUUUAGUAACUAAGAUAUUGAAAUAUUUCCAGAUCAGUUAUUAAUAUUGUACUACCAAAUGACAGAUGUUUUGUUGAUAUCUUGAGAUUGAACAUGUGCUGCACAGUAAAAACAUUGUUAUUCUAGUCAACUUUUCAAUUAGAAAGUAGUUACUUUGACACCACAGUGUUAUUUCAAGGAAACAUAUUCACUUCCUCAAUGCUCUUUAUUAAAGAGUGUUAAGAUCAUGUGGUUGCAUUGUGUGUUCAGUCAGAUGUCUGUCAGAAGGAGGAAGUCAGUUCAGUAUCAAAGAUUUAUCACAGCUCUGAGGAUGACGAGGAUUGUUGCCUGUCUGUUCUGUGUCUUAAAACUGUGUGUUGGAGCUGAGGCUUUGACAGAGACACUGGUAGAGCUUGGACACAAUGCAACACUGAACUGUUCUCUUAAUAAUGUAACUGAUGCACAUUGGUACCUACAUCGCCAACCACAGCCUCCACUGGCCAUACUCCGCUCUUUCAGUAGUAGGAGUCCUGAUGCUUUUUAUUACAAUAAUAAUUAUAGACAGAAAUAUUCAUUAGAAACGGGACAUAGAUUGUUAAUACAGAAUGUAACAGUAGAUGAUUGUGGAGUGUAUUACUGUGCAAAGAAAGAAAACGAUAGUUUCCUUUUCAGUAACGGCACCAGACUCAUGACCCCUGUUGAUCCUGAAGCAACAGAGCAACCCAGAGAAUUCAACACAACAUGGCUAAAGGGUCUUCUCAUUGGAUCUGGGGUCUUGAAUGCAGUGCUCAUUUUAUUGGUGUCAGCCAUUUCAGUGCUGUGGAAGAGAGCUGCUUGCCAGAAGAACCAUGACUCUCCUCCAACCCCUGAACCACCUGAAAGGACAGACAGUCUAGAGUAUGAAGUGAUACAGCUGGUACCCCAAGCGAGAGGACUAAGGCCCGACCCCAUAGCCUCAACUAUUUACUCAAGAGUCCAGUUUCCAAAUCAUGAACUCACAACUACUACUUAAUAAGGUGCCAAAUCUUGACUUUGAUGGAUAAUGUGAACUAGAAAAUGACUUUGGUAGAUAAAGUGAAUCUACUCUGAAUAUUCAUAUUUUUGUGUAAUGUAUUUAGUGGUGCUCUUCGUCACUAUCGUCUAUAUACCAGUCAGCAAUAUCUUUGAAGGAAAUUAUUACUUUUGUGUCUUGAUUCAUGUUUUUCAUUUUUCAUUGCUGGAAAUAAGUUCAUAUUUGCCUGUCUUGAAAGUAAACUGUUACUUUUUUUGUGAAGCAGUUAGGAAGAGGUUUGUGCAUUUCUGUAGAAAAAGCCCCCAAGCCUUUUGUAGUGUAUUGAUGCUGCAUCAACCACACAUAUCCUGUUUGAGAGCUUAGCUACACGUCCCAAUUACUGUACAAUAAACCAUUUUUGAUGACUUGUACAAGCUUUCAAUUAGUUCAUUAGAAAGCCUACUUCAUGUGCCCCAUAACACCUUUCUGAGUAGAAGGUAGUGUCACAACUUCUGCCGAGGUCGGUCCACCUUUAAUUUGUUUGUUUACCUGGUUCACAUUCCCUCAUCAGAUUAAAUGUAUAUUACCAUCUGUUUCCCCCAUGUCUGUGUGUGGAAUUGUUCUUUGUGUAGGGUGUUACGCUACAGGCUGGCUUGCGCUAUGUUUGUUUCAACAAACCUAGGUUUGUUUGUUUUGUUUAACCCGGUUCAUGUUCCCGUGGUUGUGCUUUGUGCUGCCUCGCCUGUGCCUUUGGGCCAGGGUGUAUAUUAAAGUUCUCCUGUUAUCACCCA